ACCCACGUAAACCCGGAUAUUUUCCAGUAAUUUGAGGUCCCUCGAAAAGCUUAUCAAAGCUAUCCCGAGAGGCAUCAUUUCUGUGAAAUUAGCUCAGCUUUAUAGCAGCUUUAUAUAUCCGUAUUUUAAGAGUCUGCUAUAGUGUGCUCGAGAGCGCACUUUACGAUUAAGGUGCUCGCUUAGACAAUCGGAGGACGUGGAGAAAGUUUGC
rnacentral:ribozyme from 1 species